CCCGGUCCAGUUCCUUCGGGAGGCAACAUGGGGAAUUUUGCAAAUGGGCGCAAGCUGAUGCAGCCAUGCCCGGUGUAGAAGAAAGCCUUCGGGUUGUAAAGUAUUUUCAGCAGUGAGGAAGGUGGGUAUGUUAAUAGCAUAUUCAUUUGACGUUAGCUGCAGAAGAAGCACCGGCUAAUUCCGUGCCAGCAGCCGCGGUAAUACGGAGGGUGCGAGCGUUAAUCGGAAUUACUGGGCGUAAAGCGCAUGCAGGUGGUUUGUUAAGUCAGAUGUGAAAGCCCGGGGCUCAACCUCGGAAUUGCAUUUGAAACUGACAAACUAGAGUACUGUAGAGGGGGGUAGAAUUUCAGGUGUAGCGGUGAAAUGCGUAGAGAUCUGAAGGAAUACCGGUGGCGAAGGCGGCCCCCUGGACAGAUACUGACACUCAGAUGCGAAAGCGUGGGGAGCAAACAGGAUUAGAUACCCUGGUAGUCCACGCCGUAAACGAUGUCUACUUGGAGGUUGUGGCCUUGAGCCGUGGCUUUCGGAGCUAACGCGUUAAGUAGACCGCCUGGGGAGUACGGUCGCAAGAUUAAAACUCAAAUGAAUUGACGGGGGCCCGCACAAGCGGUGGAGCAUGUGGUUUAAUUCGAUGCAACGCGAAGAACCUUACCUACUCUUGACAUCUACAGAAGCCAGCGGAGACGCAGGUGUGCCUUCGGGAACUGUAAGACAGGUGCUGCAUGGCUGUCGUCAGCUCGUGUUGUGAAAUGUUGGGUUAAGUCCCGCAACGAGCGCAAUCCUUAUCCUUGUUUGCCAGCACUUCGGGUGGGAACUCCAGGGAGACUGCCGGUGAUAAACCGGAGGAAGGUGGGGACGACGUCAAGUCAUCAUGGCCCUUACGAGUAGGGCUACACACGUGCUACAAUGGCGCAUACAGAGGGCGGCCAACUUGCGAAAGUGAGCGAAUCCCAAAAAGUGCGUCGUAGUCCGGAUUGGAGUCUGCAACUCGACUCCAUGAAGUCGGAAUCGCUAGUAAUCGUGGAUCAGAAUGCCACGGUGAAUACGUUCCCGGGCCUUGUACACACCGCCCGUCACACCAUGGGAGUGGGCUGCAAAAGAAGUGGGUAGUUUAACCUUCGGGAGGACGCUCACCACUUUGUGGUUCAUGACUGGGGUGAAGUCGUAACAAGGUAACCG
rnacentral:rRNA from 1 species